AAGGUUGUGGCUCAGUGGUAGAGCACUUGCCUAGCAUGCAAGAGACAUGGGUUAAAUCCUUAGCAUCA
rnacentral:tRNA from 1 species